AACAGAAAAACGAAACAGAUUUACACAAAAAAAACACAAUCCUCCUAACAAGGAGGAACCUCAGUGCCACAGUCGCCUGAAACAAGAAAGAGAAAUCAUCAGUUUAAGUUGUUCGAAAAAAAAAAAAAAGAAAAAGAAAAAUAGGUAGAUCAAAAAUUUUGAAAAUCGAUUCGCGACUAUCAAAGCUCUUUCAGGCCAAACGAAAGUCGGAUUCAGAAAGAGGGCGUCGAGAGAAAUUUUGGUGACUUUCUGACCCCUUCCGAUCACCGACGACCACCGCCGGCAGUGACUCACAUGGCGGUCGACGGAGUGCACGACGUUGGAUUCCGAAGAAAGCCAGAGAACCCCUAAAGCUUUUUUUUUUCUGUGAAAUGAAAUGAACUAAGAAAAAAAAAAUCUGAUUUUUAUAGAAAACAUAGGGGCAAAAUGACGUCGUUUUGAGCAUAUGAUCAAAACGACGUCGUUUUGAGGAUAGGAUCAAAACGACGUUGUUUCAAGCAUAGAAGAUUCGCGCGUGAACUGAACCCGACUCGAGAUCCACGCAACCCGACCUGACGGUCUGUUUUAGCCAGCCUUGAACCGGUUUAGACGAACCGCUAGUAAAUCGAUCCGACUCGUUGGAACGCUGAAUUGUUGAUUGAACCACCGAACCGAUCAGAUCGACACAAACCAGCAUUAAUCGGUCCGAUUCAAGUAAAAAAAAUUUUUUUAAUUUUUUUAUACUAUUAUUUUUGUUAUUUUAAGUUUUUAUAUUUGUGCAUGAUAAAUGUUUAAAUUUAUUAUGAUAAAUAUCUAAUUAUUUUUUAAUAAUAAUAAAAUGAAAAUAAUAUAGAAUAAUAACUAAAAUAAUAAUAAUAAUGAAAUAAUCUUUUUAUUUUUUCUGCCUAGAUGUUGGAGGGAAUAAAAAAUAUUUUUCUAAAGAAAUAAUUCCGCCUAGAGGUUGGGGAAUUAUUAUUAUAAAAAAAUUACUAAAUAAGUUAAUAAUUUUGAUAAGUUUUCAUAAAAAAAAAGAUUUUAAACAAAAAAAAACAUUUUAAAAUAAUAAAAAAAUUUAAUUAAAAAAAUUAUUAUGUUUCUUAAAUUAAUUUUAAAAUUUUUUUUUAUUAUUUUAAAAUGUUUUUUUUAUGAAAACUUAUCAAAAUUAUUAACUUAUUUAGUAAUUUUUUUUAUAAUAAUAAUUUUUCAACCUCUAGUCGAAAUUAUUUCUUUAGAAAAAUUUUUUUAUUCCCUCCAACAUCUAGGCAGAAAAAAUAAAAAAAUUAUUUUAUUAUUAUUAUUAUUUAAAUAUUUUUUAGUUGUUAUCCUAUAUUGUUUUCAUUUUAUUAUUAUUAAAAAAUAAUUAGAUAUUUAUCCUAAUAAAUUUAAAUAUUUAUCAUGCAUAAAUAUAAAAACUUAAAAUAACAAAAAUAAUAGUAUAAAAAAUUAAAAAAAAUAAAAAUUUUUUUUUGUGAUAUUAUAAAAUAAAAUAAAAAUAAAAUUCGAAAGAAAUAAUUUUUGAUACUCUGCUUAGAUGUUGAAAAGUCACUAACAAUUAUUUUUUAUAAAGAUUGUUAUUUUAUUUUAAAGAUUAUUGUGUUAAAUCUUAAGCGAAAAAAAUUAUUUUAAAUUAUGUCUAGAUGUUGAAGAAUUUUAAGAUAAUUCUGUAACUUAAAUAUUUUUUCAAUAUUUUCAAAUAAAAAUAUUUAACAAAAUUUUAUUUUUUCAAAUGAAAGGAAUUAGUGUUAAAUUUAAAAUUAAAAUCAUUUUUAUCCAAUAUCGAAAAUAGCACGUAAUUAAUGGUAUCAAUUUAUGAACGUUGUGGUGGUGCUAAUCCUUUUUCACAUGUAAUCGACUCUCGGAUCCAACUUAAUUUUUUGUAGAUCAAAAUUUAUCUUUUUGAUAAACUUUAAACUCGUUUUUAUAAUUUUAUUAAAAGGAUAAACUUUUAGAUGAUCACUCAUAUCCUAACAAAGAUUAGUGAUAAUUUUUUUCAUUUAUUUCGAUUUUAAAACUUAUUUAUGUUGGUGAUCUCAAAACUGUUACAACAAACAUGACUUUCAUAAUUAUUUUAUUAUUUAUGAUAUUCUUAACUACGAAUUCAUAAAUUUUGUUAGGUAACUACUAAUGCUUAUCACAAAUCAUAGGCAUCUCAAACCCACCCCCCAAAUACAAACAAAAAAGAAACUAAAGCUGCCAAAACAUAAGAAAAAGAGCUAAUAGCCUUCCUGUAAAUCAUCUUACCCUGUUUCUAAAUGAUCAUCUUCUUCGCUUCAAAACUGUUGGUUUGACUCUGAUGUUUGCGGGGGAUGAGAGAAAUUUGUUCAUAUUUGCAUGAAAGGAAAGUGAACCGAAAGUUCCAACGGAGAAAACCUUAAACUGAAGAUCUUUGUGUUUGCAGUAUCAAAGCCAUUUUAACGAUAAGAAGAAAAAGAAUAAGAAAAAAGUAAAUCGCUGACAGCAGAAAUGAACCACAUGGAACAUAAAUGCAAAUCGUAUAAGACCAUAGACUGAACAUGACCCAAAUAAGCCAUAUUUACAGUUUAAGGCCUCCAGGACUUUGCUCUAAGUUCCAGAGUUUCAUUUCUGCUGUCAGAUCUACUUGGACUUUUCCCAAUCGUUUCACUUUUUCCUUCUCCUUUUUCUCCUUAUCAUUCAAUAGUUUUGUUACAGCAAACAGAGUUGAAAGCAGGGCAAAAUGAGAUUCAUCACAAAAGAAAUGAGAGAAACCAAAGCAAAAAAAGGAUUUGCCUUUUGGGGAAGCUUUCGGUUCAAUUUCCUUGCUUGCAGCCAUGAAUCAUCAGCCUGUCUGCAUAAGAAAAAUGGGAGUUCAAUGUGUUUAUACCCCUGGGGUUCUUAUAGGAUAAGCUUCGGUUGAUUAAUUAGUUACGUAGAACAAAAGGACUUCAACA
rnacentral:lncRNA from 1 species